AGUCGUUUAUGUCAGUGGCCACCAGGCGGCAAGGUUUUGAUUAAAAGUACAAGGUGAAGUGUGCAUUAUUUCCUCCAGAAGAGCUGGUACAACAAUUCCAGGGUGUGUGCGCAUAAUAACAUCAAGUAUGAGUUUCCAACUGGAUUCUAAGUUGAAUGGUGCUUUGUGACACCUGCAGCUGUUGUAAAAGUGCUCUACAAAUCAAUAAGUAUUGUAUGGAAACCAUCACACUGGUACUCCACCUAUGGCAAAAAGUGAUGGUAGGGAAAAAAUGAGCAAAGGUCAUUAUCAUCAUGCUGCUGAAGCUGGGUGACAGAACUGUGUUGCUAAUACAGCACAACCGAUGGUGAAAAGAAGUACAAGUUGUUGGCAUUGGCAUUAAAACUGAAGGUAAUUCUUUCUUCACACACUUUGCAUGAGAACAUAUGAGUCAUCCGUGCUUCCAUUUCAACACUGUUUGUUCUGCAAGGGGAAAUGAUGCACUGCGUGGAAAACAUUUUAUAAUGACGUGAGAUUCCGUUUUUCUGUUAAGGUGGCAAGAAUAUGCAUGGAUGAGAACUGGCCAGGACUUAAAGUGCUUUUCAAAAAAAAUAAAUUCAUACAAAUUUGUUUAGAUAUCAAAACUUAAGCAUUAGCUACCUU